rnacentral:rRNA from 1 species
GACGAACCGUGCGAACGUUGUUCGGAAUCACUGGGCUUAAAGGGCGCGUAGGCGGGUUCCCAAGUCCGGGGUGAAAUCUUUCGGCUUAACCGGAAAAUAGCCUCGGAUACUGGGAAUCUUGAGGGAGGUAGGGGCAGCUGGAACUUCCGGUGGAGCGGUGAAAUGCGUUGAUAUCGGAAGGAACGCCGGUGGCGAAAGCGAGCUGCUGGACCUCUUCUGACGCUGAGGCGCGAAAGCCAGGGGAGCAAACGGG